UGGGGAAUAUUGGACAAUGGGCGCAAGCCUGAUCCAGCCAUGCCGCGUGUGUGAAGAAGGCCUUCGGGUUGUAAAGCACUUUUGUCCGGAAAGAAAUCCUGUCGGCUAAUACCCGGCGGGGAUGACGGUACCGGAAGAAUAAGCACCGGCUAACUUCGUGCCAGCAGCCGCGGUAAUACGAAGGGUGCAAGCGUUACUCGGAAUUACUGGGCGUAAAGCGUGCGUAGGUGGUUUGUUAAGUCUGAUGUGAAAGCCCUGGGCUCAACCUGGGAACUGCAUUGGAUACUGGCUUACUAGAGUGCGGUAGAGGGUGGCGGAAUUCCCGGUGUAGCAGUGAAAUGCGUAGAUAUCGGGAGGAACAUCCGUGGCGAAGGCGGCCACCUGGACCAGCACUGACACUGAGGCACGAAAGCGUGGGGAGCAAACAGGAUUAGAUACCCUGGUAGUCCACGCCCUAAACGAUGCGAACUGGAUGUUGGGAGCAACUAGGCUCUCAGUAUCGAAGCUAACGCGUUAAGUUCGCCGCCUGGGAAGUACGGUCGCAAGACUGAAACUCAAAUGAAUUGACGGGGUCAUAGCUGUUUCCU
rnacentral:rRNA from 1 species